GAUGAAGAACGUAUCGAAAUGCGAUACUUGGUGUGAAUUGCAGAAUCCCGUGAACCAUCGAGUCUUUGAACGCAAGUUGCGCCCGAAGCCAUUAGGCCGAGGGCACGCCUGCCUGGGCGUCACACGUCGUUGCCCCCCCAUCUACUCCUUCGGGAUUGCGGGGGGCGGAUGAUGGCCUCCCGUGCGCCUCGCCGCGCGGUUGGCAUAAAUGCCAAGUCCUCGGCGACGCACGCCACGACAAUCGGUGGUUGCGAAACCUCGGUUGCCCGUCGUGUGCGGUCGUCGCGCAUCGAGGGCUCGAAAAAAUUGCCGGGUUCCGGCUCGGCUUUCAACGCGACCCCAGGUCAGGCGGGGUUACCCGCUGAAUUUAAGCAUAUCAAUAAGCGGAUGA
rnacentral:misc_RNA from 1 species